rnacentral:rRNA from 1 species
CUGAGUACGGCGGAACACGUGAAAUUCCGUCGGAAUCCGGGAGGACCAUCUCCCAAGGCUAAAUACUCCCUAGUGACCGAUAGUGAACCAGUACCGUGAGGGAAAGGUGAAAAGCACCCCGGAAGGGGAGUGAAACAGUUCCUGAAACCGUGUGCCUACAAGUAGUUAGAGCCCGUUAAUGGGUGAUAGCGUGCCUUUUGUAGAAUGAACCGGCGAGUUACGAUUUGUUGCAAGGUUAAGCGGAAAAAGCGGAGCCGUAGCGAAAGCGAGUCUGAAUAGGGCGCAUAAGUAACAGGUCGUAGACCCGAAACCAGGUGAUCUACCCAUGUCCAGGAUGAAGGUAAGGUAAUACUUACUGGAGGUCCGAACCCACGCACGUUGAAAAGUGCGGGGAUGAGGUGUGGGU